GACGAACGCUGGCGGCGUGCUUAACACAUGCAAGUCGAACGCUGAAGCACCAGCUUGCUGGUGUGGAUGAGUGGCGAACGGGUGAGUAAUACGUGAGUAACCUGCCCUUGACUCUGGGAUAAGCCCGGGAAACUGGGUCUAAUACUGGAUGCUACAUGUCACCGCAUGGUGGUGUGUGGAAAGGGUUUACUGGUCUUGGAUGGGAUCACGGCCUAUCAGCUUGUUGGUGAGGUAAUGGCUCACCAAGGCGACGACGGGUAGCCGGCCUGGGAGGGUGACCGGCCACACUGGGACUGGGACACGGCCCAGACUCCUACGGGGGGCAGCAGUGGGGAAUAUUGGACAAUGGGCGAAAGCCUGAUGCAGCGACGCCGCGUGGGGGAUGACGGCCUUCGGGUUGUAAACCUCUUUCAGCAGGGAAGAAGCCACAAGUGACGGUACCUGCAGAAGAAGCGCCGGCUAACUACGUG
rnacentral:rRNA from 1 species